ensembl:lncRNA
CGCACAAUUAAAAUCAGAGUGAAUCUGCUUUACACAAAUCUGGAUUUUGGCUGCUGCUCAGGCCUGCACAGCCCCCGUGUACAUUGUGUCUUAUUUCACAAGCAGUGAAGUUGUAUGCAUGUGUGUGUUGUUUGGGGUUCUGUUGCGUUAUUCAAUAUUUAUAUCUAGGCUAAAUAAUAAUAAAUCACGCCUUUCCGUUAACCAGCAGUAGGACAGAAGACCGGUGGACAGAAGCUUGGCAAGAGACAGCGGUUGAAUGGAAUCUAAUCCCCGCAAUUUAUUUUACAAGCCUAACGCUUCAUUGCUGUAAUAUUGUUGUAAUCACCACAUAAUUGCUGCUUCCUUGCCAAAAUUAGACAUAACCUUACUGAGAUCAAAUGGGAUUUCACUAUAGGAAGUAGACCUAAUCAGAGAAUUAAAAAGCUGAUAUUAUUAUUUACUAUUAUAUAUAUAUAUAUAUAUAUUUUUUUUAACUGAUUGUGUUACAUAUUUGUAAUGAUAUAACUGAUGCCUAUUUAUUUACAGGCUGUUUAUAGUGACCUCUGUACUCGACUGUUUUGUGUGCGUGUGUGUGUGUGUGUGUGUGUGUGUGUGAGAGAGAGAGAGAGAGAGAGAGAGACAGAGAGAGAGAGCCUUUAAGCAGUCUAUUUGUCUUUGUAGAAAGAACCGAGUAGUGCCUCUUUUACCUGGAAAAAGGAACAGGGAAAAAAGCGAGAAUUAAAUCAAUGUGUGUUUCCAAACAAAACGAAUGGAAUCAAAGACGUGUUUGGUUUUUCUGUGGUUCUCUCCGCGGGCGAUCCCUCUCUUCUUCAGAUGACCCCUCAUUGGAGUCUUGGAUUGUGCGACACAAAGCAACAGAAGGGCAGCCAGGCCUGAGAAUCCGCCGUGUUCGUUGCCCUUCCAGCCCACUUCGAGAAGUGGUUUAGUCCUCAGAAGUGUAUUUGGCAUGAAUAGAUUGGGGUCUCAACAAAGCGGCCUAGCUCUGGGCUCCUCAUCGGUGUUUGGAAACCACUGGUUCGUGUGAUGAGACCGAGGGGAGAUCUGGGUCUGGAGGCUCUCUCUCGCUGCAUUAGGCUGUAAUAGGUUUGGGAUGACCUAAACGAUUUGUUGACUGGGACAAUAAAUCUGUUGUGUGUUUCUUGGCA